rnacentral:snoRNA from 1 species
AACACGCUCCUUAGAUCUUCUCUCCGAUCCUUACCGAUCACAAACUUUAUGUUUUCCAUGGAGAGAGCUUGAGUCAUAAGCGUGUAACAGUAGAUAUACCUUCCCUGGUAAUCAGUGUACCCGGAGAUAAACCUGAACCCUGUCUGGUUCAUGGUUUAAUCUAGCCCCGGGGACUCAAUUAUCAAAGCGGACAAU